GGUUUUCCAGGCAAAUCCGGAAAAUCAAGGCUGAGGCGUGAUGACGAGGCACUACGGUGCUGAAGCAACAAAUGCCCUGCUUCCAGGAAAAGCCUCUAAGCAUCAGGUAACAUCAAAUCGUACCCCAAACCGACACAGGUGGUCAGGUAGAGAAUACCAAGGCGCUUGGGAGAACUCGGGUGAAGGAACUAGGCAAAAUGGUGCCGUAACUUCGGGAGAAGGCACGCUGAUAUGUAGGUGAAGCGACUUGCUCGUGGAGCUGAAAUCAGUCGAAGAUACCAGCUGGCUGCAACUGUUUAUUAAAAACACAGCACUGUGCAAACACGAAAGUGGACGUAUACGGUGUGACGCCUGCCCGGUGCCGGAAGGUUAAUUGAUGGGGUUAGCGCAAGCGAAGCUCUUGAUCGAAGCCCCGGUAAACGGCGGCCGUAACUAUAACGGUCCUAAGGUAGCGAAAUUCCUUGUCGGGUAAGUUCCGACCUGCACGAAUGGCGUAAUGAUGGCCAGGCUGUCUCCACCCGAGACUCAGUGAAAUUGAACUCGCUGUGGAGAUGCAGUGUACCCGCGGCAAGACGGAAAGACCCCGUGAACCUUUACUAUAGCUUGACACUGAACAUUGAGCCUUGAUGUGUAGGAUAGGUGGGAGGCUUUGAAGUGUGGACGCCAGUCUGCAUGGAGCCGACCUUGAAAUACCACCCUUUAAUGUUUGAUGUUCUAACGUUGACCCGUAAUCCGGGUUGCGGACAGUGUCUGGUGGGUAGUUUGACUGGGGCGGUCUCCUCCUAAAGAGUAACGGAGGAGCACGAAGGUUGGCUAAUCCUGGUCGGACAUCAGGAGGUUAGUGCAAUGGCAUAAGCCAGCUUGACUGCGAGCGUGACGGCGCGAGCAGGUGCGAAAGCAGGUCAUAGUGAUCCGGUGGUUCUGAAUGGAAGGGCCAUCGCUCAACGGAUAAAAGGUACUCCGGGGAUAACAGGCUGAUACCGCCCAAGGGUUCAUAUCGACGGCGGUGUUUGGCACCUCGAUGUCGGCUCAUCACAUCCUGGGGCUGAAGUAGGUCCCAAGGGUAUGGCUGUUCGCCAUUUAAAGUGGUACGCGAGCUGGGUUUAGAACGUCGUGAGACAGUUCGGUCCCUAUCUGCCGUGGGCGCUGGAGAACUGAGGGGGGCUGCUCCUAGUACGAGAGGACCGGAGUGGACGCAUCACUGGUGUUCGGGUUGUCAUGCCAAUGGCACUGCCCGGUAGCUAAAUGCGGAAGAGAUAAGUGCUGAAAGCAUCUAAGCACGAAACUUGCCCCGAGAUGAGUUCUCCCUGACUCCUUGAGAGUCCUGAAGGAACGUUGAAGACGACGACGUUGAUAGGCCGGGUGUGUAAGCGCAGCGAUGCGUUGAGCUAACCGGUACUAAUGAACCGUGAGGCUUAACC
rnacentral:rRNA from 1 species